rnacentral:rRNA from 1 species
UACGGAGGAUGCGAGCGUUAUCCGGAUUUAUUGGGUUUAAAGGGUGCGUAGGCGGGCUUUUAAGUCAGCGGUAAAAAUUCGGGGCUCAACCCCGUCCGGCCGUCGAAACUGGGGGUCUUGAGUGGGCGAGAAGAAGGCGGAAUGCGUGGUGUAGCGGUGAAAUGCAUAGAUAUCACGCAGAACCCCGAUUGCGAAGGCAGCCUUCCGGCGCCCUACUGACGCUGAGGCACGAAAGUGCGGGGAUCGAACAGG